rnacentral:piRNA from 1 species
UGGAAUAUGACCCUCAGGGAAUGUGUCU